rnacentral:rRNA from 1 species
CCUACGGGAGGCAGCAGUGAGGAAUAUUGGUCAAUGGUCGGAAGCCUGAACCAGCCAAGCCGCGUGCGGGAGGAAGGUCCUGCGUAUCGUAAACCUCUUUUGCCAGGGAAUAAAGACCGGGACGUGUCCACGGAUGCGUGUACCUGUAGAAAAAGGAUCGGCUAACUCCGUGCCAGCAGCCGCGGUAAUACGGAGGAGCCGAGCGUUAUCCGGAUUUAUUGGGCUUAAAGGGGGCGCAGGCGGGCUGUUAAGUCAGCGGUCAAAGCCCGGGGCUCAACCCCGGCCCGCCGUUGAAACUGGGAGUCUCGAGUUGGAGAGAGGUAUGCGGAAUUCGCGGUGUAGCGGUGAAAUGCAUAGAUAUCGCGAAGAACGCCGAUUGCGAAGGCAGCAUGCCGGCUCCACACUGACGCUGAGGCUCGAAGGCGUGGGUAUCGAACAGGAUUAGAUACCCUAGUAGUC